rnacentral:misc_RNA from 1 species
AGGGCUUGACAUGUAGGGAAAAGCCGUGGAGACACGGUGUCCGCAAGGGCCCUACACAGCCAUGCACCACCUGUAUACCGACCUUGCGGGGGCUACAUCUCUGCAGCUUUCCGGCAUAUGUCAAGCCUUGGUAAGGUUCUUCGCGUUGCUUCGAAUUGAGCAACAUCCUCCACCGCUUGUGUGAGCCCCCGUCAAUUCCUUUGAGUUUCAGCCUUGCGACCAUACUCCCCAGGCGGGGCACUUAAUGGAUUUCCGUCAGCAGCGACCGGUCGGAUCCGGCCGCUACCUAGUGCCCAUCGUUUACGGCGUGGACUAC